rnacentral:rRNA from 1 species
GAUGAACGCUAGCGGCAGGCUUAACACAUGCAAGUCGUGGGGCAGCGCGGGUAGCAAUACUUGGCGGCGACCGGCAAACGGGUGCGGAACACGUACGCAACCUCCCUCAAAGCGGGGAAUAGCCUCUCGAAAGAGAGAUUAAUACCCCAUAGUAUCGUCAGAAGGCAUCUGAAGACGAUUAAAGCUCCGGCACUUUGAGAUGGGCGUGCGGCUGAUUAGGUAGUUGGUAGGGUAACGGCCUACCAAGCCGACGAUCAGUAGCUGAUGUGAGAGCAUGAUCAGCCACACGGGCACUGAGACACGGGCCCGACUCCUACGGGAGGCAGCAGUGAGGAAUAUUGGUCAAUGGAGGCAACUCUGAACCAGCCAUGCCGCGUGGAGGAUGACGGUCCUAUGGGUUGUAAACUGCUUUUAUACAAGAGAAAACCCGAGUACGUGUACUCGGUUGAUAGUAUUGUAAGAAUAAGCAUCGGCUAA